UACGGGGGGGGCAAGCGUUGUUCGGAAUUACUGGGCGUAAAGGGUCUGUAGGUGGCCAACUAAGUCAGACGUGAAAUCCCUCAGCUUAACUGGGGAUCUGCGUCUGAUACUGGUUGGCUUGAGUGCAAGAGAGGAAUGCGGAAUUCCAGGUGUAGCGGUGAAAUGCGUAGAUAUCUGGAGGAACACCGGUGGCGAAGGCGGCAUUCUGGACUGCAACUGACACUGAAAGACGAAAGCCAGGGGAGCAAACGGG
rnacentral:rRNA from 1 species